rnacentral:rRNA from 1 species
UACGGGGGGAGCAAGCGUUGUUCGGAUUUACUGGGCGUAAAGGGCGCGUAGGCGGCCACCGCAAGUCAGUUGUGAAAUCUCUGGGCUUAACCCAGAAAGGUCAACUGAUACUGCGGGGCUAGAGUGCAGAAGGGGCAACUGGAAUUCUCGGUGUAGCGGUGAAAUGCGUAGAUAUCGAGAGGAACACCUGCGGCGAAGGCGGGUUGCUGGGCUGACACUGACGCUGAGGCGCGAAAGCGUGGGGAGCGAACAGG